rnacentral:lncRNA from 1 species
AUGAAAUCCUUUGAACGACUGGUGUUAGCCCAUCUGAAGGACAUUACAGGCCACCAGCUGGACCCCCUGCAGUUUGCCUACCGGGCAAACAGGCCGGUGGAUGAUGCAGUGAAUAUGGGGCUGCAUUACAUCCUGCAACACCUCGACCGCCCGGGAACUUAUGCCAGGGUCCUGUUUGUGGACUUUAGUUCGGCUUUUAACACCAUCGUGCCUGAACUUCUCUCCUCCAAACUCUCCCAGCUCAGCGUGUCUCCAGCUACCUGUCAGUGGAUCACCAGCUUCCUGACAGACAGAAAGCAACAAGUGAGGCUGGGGGAGAUCACCUCUGAAACUCGGUCCCUCAGUAUUGGUGCCCCUCAAGGAUGUGUCCUCUCACCACUACUGUUCUCCCUCUACACUAAUGACUGCACCUCCACGAACUCAGCUGUUAAACUCCUAAAGUUUGCAGAUGACACCACCGUCAUUGGCCUCAUUCAGGAUGGUGAUGAGUCUGCAUACCGGCAGGAAGUUGAGCGGCUGGUACUCUGGUGCAGUCAGCACAAUCUGGAGCUGAACACUCUUAAAACUGUAGAGAUGACAGUGGACUUCAGGAGACAUCCCUCAACUCUCCCCCCCCCCCUCAUCAUAUCAGACAGCCCUGAGUCCACUGUGGAGAUUUUCAAGUUCCUGGGUACCACCAUCUCCCAGGACCUGAAGUGGGAGACCAACAUCAACGCCAUCCUCAGAAAGACCCAGCAGAGGAUGUACUUCCUGAGACAACUGGGGAAGUACAGUCUUCCACAGGAGCUGCUGAUCCAGUUCUACACUGCAGUCAUUGAGUCUGUCCUGUGCUCCUCCAUCACAGUCUGGUAUGGUGCAGCCACCAAACAGGACAGGUGCAGACUGCAGCGGACUGUACGGGCAGCAGAAAGGAUCAUUGGCGCCCCCCCUGCCCUCCAUCCAGGAUCUGUACCUCUCAAGAACCAGGAAACGGGCAGGAAUCAUCACAGACCCCUCACACCCUGGACACAGACUUUUUGA